rnacentral:misc_RNA from 1 species
GAUGAAGAACGUAGCGAAAUGCGAUACUUGGUGUGAAUUGCAGAAUCCCGUGAACCAUCGAGUCUUUGAACGCAAGUUGCGCCCGAAGCCAUCAGGUUGAGGGCACGUCUGCCUGGGCGUCACAUAUCGUUGCCCAAUGCCUAUUGCAGUGCAAUAGGAAUUUCUAGGGCGAAUGAUGGCUUCCCGUGAGCGUUGUUGCCUCGCGGUUGGUUGAAAAUCGAGUCCUUGGUAGGGUGUGCCAUGGUAGAUGGUGGUCGAGUUAGAACGAUACCGAUCAUGUGCAUGCUCCCCAAAAUAUGGCCUCUAUGACCCACACGCGUCUUUUGACGCUCAUGACGAGACCUCAGGUCAGGCGGGGCUACCCGCUGAAUUUAAGCAUAUCAAUAAGCGGAGGGA